rfam:Triticum urartu cultivar G1812 contig496040, whole genome shotgun sequence.
AUUCUACUCCCUCCGUUGCACAAUCCAUUCCUUCUAUUUUUCAAUAUAUAUAUGUAUCUAGACAUGUUUUAGUAUAUAGGUACAUCCAUUUUUGGACAAAUGGAAGUCAAGUAUUUUGGAACGGAGGGAGUACACA